rnacentral:misc_RNA from 1 species
GCAAACUUGGUCAUUUAGAGGAAGUAAAAGUCGUAACAAGGUUUCCGUAGGUGAACCUGCGGAAGGAUCAUUAUUGAAUAUACUUGAUGGGUUGUGGCUGGCCUCCUGGGGCAUGUGCACACUUGUCUUGCUUUUAUUCAUCCACCUGUGCACCUUUUGUAGUCUUUGUGGAGAUUGAGUUGCCUUGUCAGAUUGGGUUCUGGAUUUGAAGAGUGCCUCUGAGCUCUUUUCUAUUGACUUUUCCCUCCCAAAGUGCUAUGUCUUUCAUAUACCACAUAGUAUGUUGUAGAAUGUUGAUCAAUGAGAUAUAAUGAUAUACAACUUUCAGCAACGGAUCUCUUGGCUCUCGCAUCGAUGAAGAACGCAGC